GACGAACGCUGGCGGCGUGCCUAAUACAUGCAAGUAGAACGCAGUUUCGAACGGGUGAGUAACGCGUAGUUAACCUUCCUCAUAGCGGGGGACAACUAUUGGAAACGAUAGCUAAUACCGCAUACUGUGAGAUGGACCUGCGUUGUAUUAGCUAGUUGGUGAGGUAAAGGCUCAACAAGGCGACGAUACAUAGCCGACCUUAGAGGGGGAUCGGCCCAACUGGGUAUGAAACACGGGCCCGAUCCCUACGGGAGGCAGAAGUAAGGAAACUUCGGCAAUGGGAGGAAGUCUGACCGAUGAACGCCGCGUGAGUGGAGAAGGUUUUCGGAUCGUAAAGCUCUGUUGUUAGAGAAGCGGUAGCUAACCAGAAAGGGACGGCUAACUACGUGCCAGCAGCCGCGGUAAUAC
rnacentral:rRNA from 1 species